GGCCUAUAAUCUGUAAAUUAAUUAUUACAGGAAGUAUGCAUGCAAAAAUAUAUAAAAUACCUUGUCAUAGAUACAUGAUAAAAGUAGCCACCCAAUGGUGUCUACAUCACUUUCUCUUUAAUCGACCAGGGGGAUUAUCAGGAUUUGAGUCAGUAUCUAGAGCACAGAUUAGUGGAUUGGAGUGGUUUUUUAAUCGAGAACGGAAACGUUUAUAAAGGAUUUUGGCAGUUUCAUCUACUGUAUUAAUUCUUGGAUCUGUAUGAAGGGUGAUUAGAUACAUAAAAAGGGCAUUAGUGAUUAUGCGGAGGGUUGUGGAUUGGGAAGUUUGAAUUUUAUGUGUUUGAUUUUUUGCGGUGCCUUAUAACUGUAUCCAAAUGAGAAUUAAUAAAGUUUUAUAUAGAAGUAAUUUUGUUUUUGUAACAAGUUUAGAGUAUUUACCAAGUAAGAAUUGUAGUGAUUUACAUCUAGAGUUAAGGAGGAUUUUUUUCUUUCUUAUUUGGUUUGCCCAGGUUAAUAGUUGAUCUAGAAACAAACCCAAAUAACUUGACCUCGAGGAUUUUUGAAAAUUUUGGUUGUUUAAAUUUAUAGGUGGUACAGUUCCACGUUUCAAUGUAAAACUUAGAUGGAAAGAUUUUACAUGAUUUAUUAUAAUUUUCUACUUGUCCUACCAGGGAGACAUGAGGUUUAGGUGUUUUUUUGUAGAUUCAUGCCAGCAAAAUUGGAUCUUUGUGUAUAGAGUAUAGCUGUCAGUAUAUGGAAAACAAACAUUUAAUUAUAAAAAAAUCAUAAGAACUUUUUUUAAAUAAUUACUCUUUAAUUAGUUAUAUUAUGAGAAAGGGAAUAGUUAAAAAUUGUGUAGAAUUAAGUAAAAUAUAUGAUUCACAUUGACUUUUUAAAUUUAUGUAAGCUAUUCAUUUGUGUUAAUUAUUUAGAACUUUCCAUUGAAAAUUGUUUAGGGCUUCACCAGUUAUGACUAUAGACAUAAUUUCUUAUUUUAUAUAAUGUACAAUAUUAUUAUUAUUUAUAUGUUAAUUCUUUUUUCUUCUGAUCAUUUUGAUUUAGAUGUUUUAUACAUAGGCUUUCCAAAAAACAUCCAACAAAAAUUAUAAGGACGCAUUAGGAGCCUGGUUAAGACAGGCUAAUAAGCGCGUACCAAAUAAAAUUUUAUCAGAACAAGACAUUGCAUUUGUCUUUUAAAAGUGAUUUUUUUUUUUCAUUAUUUAGAUAUGUAAUUGUUUAAACAGC